AAGGGGGUGACAGAUUGGUUAUGUGGUUGACUUGAAAUUAAAAUAGGGGGGUUCAAUUCCCUCUUCCCUGGUG
rnacentral:tRNA from 1 species